rnacentral:RNase_P_RNA from 1 species
AAUGUAAGCCGUUCUAUCGUUCCGACCUUGUGUCGGAGAGGAAAGUCCGGGCAACAUAGUGCAUCUCGCUUCCUAACGGGAAGGGAUUUAGGAAUGAAAACCUGAAUAACGGAAAGUGCUACAGAAAAUAAACCACCUCGCGUAAGCUAGGAAAGGGUGAAAACGUGAGGUAAGAGCUCACGAGCUUCUCAAGUGAUUGAGAUUUUGGUAAACCCCGGGAGUUGAAAGACCAAAUAGGCUAACGUUCUGACUUUAGGUCGGAAUAAAGGGCGGCACGCUCGAUGUUAGUGGGUAGGUCGUUAGAGAUAAAUGGCGACAUUUAUACUAGAUUAAUGAUAGAAGUCCCCAGCUCUACGUCGGGGAUACAG